rnacentral:rRNA from 1 species
UACGCGAAGACCCCGCAAGGGGUGUAUAGCGUGGCAAACGGGUGAGUAACGCGUGGGCGACCUGCCUUCGAGUGGGGGAUAACCUUCCGAAAGGAGGGCUAAUACCGCAUGACAUACCGUGUUUGGAUACAUGGAUAUCAAAGCCGGGGAUCGCAAGACCUGGCGCUUGAAGAGGGGCCUACGUCCGAUUAGCUAGUUGGUGGGGUAAUGGCUCACCAAGGCGACGAUCGGUAUCCGGCCUGAGAGGGCGGACGGACACACUGGGACUGAGACACGGCCCAGACUCCUACGGGAGGCAGCAGUAGGGAAUUGUUCGCAAUGGGCGCAAGCCUGACGACGCAACGCCGCGUGGAGGAUGAAGGGCUUCGGCUCGUAAACUCCUUUCGACCGAGAUGAAUACCCUCCGGCCUAAUAUGCCGGAGGACUGACAGUAUCGAGGGAAGAAGCCCCGGCUAACUCCGUGCCAGCAGCCGCGGUAAUACGGGGGGGGCAAGCGUUGUUCGGAAUUACUGGGCGUAAAGGG